CUUAGAUAAUGUUACUUACUACUGCUUAGUCUACAGGACCUCCACUUUCAGAGAAGGGUCUUCCUGAGAAUGUAUCUUCAUGACAUGAUGGAAAAUUUGGAAAGCAAACUAAUCAAAAAACUAUGUUCAGAGCCAAUUAAAAGGGUAGGUUGUUUAUGCAGGGGCUAAUUUUAUCUACUUUAGGCUGAUUUUUUUUCUAGUUUCACUUUCAGAAGGUGAUCCUAAAUUUUUCUCCAAAUCCUGAGGCUGUACUCUCUUUGAUGUUCAUAACCUGUUCAAAUUGUAUUAAUUUCAGUUGAGGUGCAUGAAUUAUAUUUUUGUUGUUUUUUUACUUUUUGUUUGUUUUAUGUUUGAUACCAGGUAAUGAAUUCAGGGGUGCUCUGCCACUGAGCUACAUUCCCAGCCCUUUUUAAAUUUUGAGACAGGAUCAUGCUAAGUGGCCCAGACUUUCCUCAAACUUGUGAUCCUCUUGCCUCAUCCUUCUAAGUAGCUGGGAUCAUAAGCAUGCUCCACCAUACCCAGCAAAGAUUAGAGGAUUAGUAGAAAGUGAAGGGCUGGAAGAAAGAGAAGAGAGAAAUGAAGGAAGUCAUCAAACUUUUUCUGAGCAUUUUUUGAUCUGUACGAUCUCUUCCAACUCUAAAUUUUGUGAUCUUGAUGAUUAUGCUUUAAGUGAAUGAUUCUUUUCUUUUUUUAAUAUUUAUUUUUAUUUAUUUAUUUUUAUGUGGUGCUAAGGAUUGAACCCAGCACCUAGCACAUGCUAGGCGAGCGCUCUACUGAUGAGCCCUAGCCCCAGCCCCAAGUGAAUGAUUCUUAAUAGAAGCAUUUUAGAAAUCUUUGGAGAUGUCAUUAUUUGCCUCAAGGUUGGGGACCAGUAGUACCAAUAUUUAUGGAAGAUUCCAGGAAUGGAAGACAUCCUGCAAUACACAGGACUUUAGUCAGAUCUUAAUACUGAAAGAAGCAGACAAUGUAUGCAAAGGCAGAAUUAUGUAUGCAAAAUAUUGAUUGGGGGACAAUUUUUUAAAGGGGAGACGAAUCAGUAGGUAGGGAGAGUCUUCAGACUAUGAUGUAGACACCCACGUCAUGAGAAGAGGAAGAAAAUUAGAUUGGAAGAGUCUUAGGCUAUAGUACAGCUUUGAGUAAGUCUUGGCCAAACUGAUAAAGAGCCUCGGAAAAAAGACUGACCAUUUUGAGAGGGUCCCAAUUUAGACAGACAUAGUCUGUCUGCUCCAGUAACUACUGCUGUGUUUAGCCAUUGGUGGAGAGUGGUUCUGGGAGGGUACAGCGGUAGGGUAAAUGCUAUGGUGAAUCCCACCAAGCAUGGCACUGAAAGACUGUCAGCUAACUAUGGUCACAGCAGUUGGGGUGGUCUCUUCCAUUCUCAGUCUCCCCACACACUCUGCUCUCCCUUCGUUCAUAUCUCUCUCAGAAAUGACACUAUAGGGCUGGGAUGUGGCUCAGUGGUAGAGCGCUUGCCUCGCACGUGUGAGACCCUGGGUUCGAUCCUCAGCAUCACAUAAAAUAAGUAAACAAAAUAAAAAAAUGACACUGUAUUCAGAGAAACCUUUGCUUGUAAAGCAGGAGAACAAGAUAACAUAAACACGAAUAUCUGAGAUUUGACAAGGUGGCUAUUUUGAUUUUUUCCCUUUUUAUCUUUUCCUUUUUCUUUUUUAUUUUAACAGGUUAAAAGUUGGAUACAGAGAUAAGUUUUGGGAGAUGAAGCUGGGAGUUGAAAUCCAGCAUGGAAAACAAGAUGAGCUGCAGUUCCCAGGCUGCAGGGGUAUUCACAUUUUUUAUCGAGUUGAAACAGUUUUUUUUUUCUUUUGACUUCAAUAGCUUUUGUAAACUUGGGUAUACUUUGCUUAUGGUUGUCAGGAAGGAGAACAUUAGAAUGUACAGAAGUGUCUCAACCUGGCCUACAGUAUCAGUGCUCUUACCACCCCUAUUGGUGUCUUGUUCAGAUUUUUAAGGUCCCACUUCAUUAUCAGUUUAAUUCAUGUUCACAGUUUUAACAUCACAGCUAACCAUAUUUUUAGUAGAUGGUCUGGAACCCCUUGCCUGAGUUAUAGGCAGAGUUUUUCACACUUUUCUCUUGGAAAAUCUUCUCAUCACCAUUAACAAAUGCUAACUAAUUAAUUUACUUAGCCAGUAGCUGUUUCUCAAUAGGCCAGCUUUGAGGCAUUUUCAUAGCAUUAUUUUUAUUUUGCAUCUUAAUUUUUUUGGAUGUGAACCAAUGCCAUUUUAAAUUGCUGUUGGAGACAUUUUGUCAAAGGAUUCCUUUUUAGUUCCUUCAUCUUCGUCAUCUGCUUCAUCUUCUUCAUAAGUAUCAUUCCCUGAUAUUUCUGUUACCUUAAAAUAUUUGCAUCUAUACUUUUUCAUGGUUUUUCAAUCCUAUGUUUCUUUUCUGGUCUUUGCAGCAGGUUCUUUCUUGAAUAGGAACAGCUCCUCUAUAAUUCCUCUGGACCUCUCUUCUUGAGAUACAACUAGAAGAAGGUGAUUAUUGGGACAAAUUAUAGCCCUUGUCACUCAGUUGGUCUCAGGACUGCAACUACUACUUAUCCCCCUCUCCCUCCAUUGCCCACUUCAAAUUCUACUCUCCUUCAGCUAUCUUUGCCACAGGUCUUAGUAGUUUACCUGGGUGUAACCCAAAUCCUUAAUUUCCUGAUUAGGAAGUAUAUUUAUAUAUAGAAAUGACAUGCAUCUCACUCUGGGAUUGUUGUACAUGUCCUUCCAUAGUUACAAUUAAGUAUCAAAAGGCUCUCAAGUUCACAUACAUUUUUCCUCACCCAUUGUGUGAAAGCAGUCCUUUUACUCCUUAUUGAUCAGUUACCCUGCCAAGAUGGGAACUCCUCUUCUUGCCUGCUGG
rnacentral:tRNA from 1 species